rnacentral:rRNA from 1 species
AGACGCUGGCGGCGGCUAACACAUGCAGUCGAGCGCGCCUUCGGGUGAGCGGCGGACGGGUUAGUAACGCGUGGGAACGUGCCCUUCUCUACGGAAUAGCCUCUGGAAACGGAGAGUAAUACCGUAUACGCCCUUUGGGGGAAAGAUUUAUCGGAGAAGGAUCGGCCCGCGUUAGAUUAGGUAGUUGGUGGGGUAACGGCCUACCAAGCCUACGAUCUAUAGCUGGUUUUAGAGGAUGAUCAGCAACACUGGGACUGAGACACGGCCCAGACUCCUACGGGAGGCAGCAGUGGGGAAUCUUAGACAAUGGGGGCAACCCUGAUCUAGCCAUGCCGCGUGAGUGAUGAAGGCCUUAGGGUCGUAAAGCUCUUUCGCCUGUGAUGAUAAUGACAGUAGCAGGUAAAGAAACCCCGGCUAACUCCGUGCCAGCAGCCGCGGUAAUACGGAGGGGGUUAGCGUUGUUCGGAAUUACUGGGCGUAAAGCGCGCGUAGGCGGAUUAGAAAGUUGGGGGUGAAAUCCCGGGGCUCAACCCCGGAACUGCCUCCAAAACUGCUAGUCUAGAGUUCGAGAGAGGUGAGUGGAAUUCCGAGUGUAGAGGUGAAAUUCGUAGAUAUUCGGAGGAACACCAGUGGCGAAGGCGGCUCACUGGCUCGAUACUGACGCUGAGGUGCGAAAGUGUGGGGAGCAAACCAGGGAUUUGUUCCCUGGUUGGUCACACCGUGAGCGGUUGAUGGCCGUCGGGGAUAGUAUUCUUCGGGAGACCCCUA